UUAUUAUGAGAGUUUGAUCCUGGCUCAGGACGAACGCUGGCGGCGUGCCUAAUACAUGCAAGUCGAACGCUUCUUUCCUCCCGAGUGCUUGCACUCAAUUGGAAAGAGGAGUGGCGGACGGGUGAGUAACACGUGGGUAACCUACCCAUCAGAGGGGGAUAACACUUGGAAACAGGUGCUAAUACCGCAUAACAGUUUAUGCCGCAUGGCAUAAG
rnacentral:rRNA from 1 species